rnacentral:lncRNA from 1 species
UAUUGUGAAUUUGAAAACUAAUUUUUUUAAAUUUACAGUAAAAUAGCAAGGAUAGAAUAAGUUUUGUCAUAACCUUUCUGUUAAAAAAGAUUGAAUUAAGAAUGACCAUAAAACGAGCCAAAUAUAUGCUCUAGCGAGAUGUCGUAGAAAACUUCUUACGGGUGUAAUAAAUACUGUAAGUUAAAACUUCUGCUUAUUAAUACGACGUAAAGCUGUUGUUGAAUUUUACUACAGAGU